rnacentral:lncRNA from 1 species
AACACCAUAAGCAUUCCAAAUUUAUCCUGCUUUUUUCAGGUAACUGCACUCAAAUAUUCUGACUUUCUUUAAGAAUACAGUCCAUCAUUAUUUUUCCCUUUUGAACUUAAGUGAUUUUAACAACGAGAGUUUUUACUGGGACGGUAGAUUCUGCGCUAUUUGAAUGGCUUGUAUUUCUCCCUCCCUGUAUCCUCUAUCUACCGUGUCUCUCACCUCCCACCUAAGGCUGUUCUGGUGCAGCAAACACUCUGCAAUGACAUGUUUCCAAUGAAUUUUCCCCCCUAUCCAACACACUCGACCCAGCCAUAUUUUUGCAACUGAUCUCAAUGAGCAAAAAAAAAAAAAUAAUAAUAAUAAUCUUCUAAGUUUAUGAGGUUAUAAAGGUACAGAAUUCCUUUAAGACUCUACUCUAGCAUUCUCUAACUAAUGCUGGAAAAGUGUGCAGUGGUACAGUAGUAGGCAUCAUACACACUGCAAUUCAUUUCAGUGGUAUAACUUCUCGAUGUAGCCACACUGUUGUAACAGUGGAAAAAUAGAGAAAUAGAGCUAGGAAAGAGCAGCCAAAUCCUGUGUAGAUUCUGCAAUGAGCAUUGUAUUCUGUAUCCAUCAGAUUUAUGCUCAUAAAAGCCCAGUGCUAUGUUAGAUAUGAAAAGUACCUUAAGUAGUGUGUCAGUAUGAAUACUCACUGUUUAAGCAGAAAAGUUCUUUCUGUUGACAUUUUGUUCUCAAAUACUUUCAUAGGUUUUGAGUCCCUAUGGGAAUAUGAAGUUCUUUGCAACGAUGAUCCCAAGAACCUUCAAAAAGGAAAUUCAGCACAAAUAUUUGCCAUUGUCUUGUAUCAAAACAUUUGGGAGAUAUUUGGAUUUAAGUUGUGGUCUAGUGAUGUAGGAGUUGAGGAACCAGGCCAGCAUGAAGAUGGAUUUCUAGUGUCAGUCUUCAGCAGUGAUUCACAGAGCACUGAUGAACUUCGGAGUCCUGUGGCCCCUCAAGCAGCUUUACACUGCAACUGAAUUACCAGGAAGGGUAUUAGUGGUUCUGCAAGGACAUCCUGACUCCAUAUGAAUGAAUUUGCCACUGCUUGCAAGAUCUCCAUGAAAAGAAGAGAAAGAACAGUCAACACCAGCUCAAAGCCUCCUUUUAUGCUGAAAUAUCAUCAGUUCUGAGCGGCAGGAAAAGGAUCAAGUGAGUUGAUCUCAAAUCUCUUCCAACUGCCAGAUCCUGCUCCUGAUGGAACCUGGGUUGGAAAGAUUCACAGAUGGUCAUACAAAAUUGGGAAAAGAAGGCAUCUAACAUGAUUUGUGAAGUGAGAUAUCCCAGGCCUUUGGUGAUGCUGAAAGAAACACCUCUCGUGCAGUUGGGAUGUGCCAGUAGGAGAAAAAAAAGUUUUCAUUUUCAGGAGUUACGGAUGUCGCUGCAAUUGGCUGUCACAAAUCUUACAGGCUGCAAAAGACAAUGAUAAUUUCUCUCUUAUAUUUCCAAGUUGCAUGGGAACUCCCAGACAAACCACUGCUGCCUUUUGUGGUAGAUAUUUUGCAUUCUCAGGACUGAGAUUGUUCCUCCUUUGGGUUGAUCUUCUGCUCCAGCUAGAUCUGCAUGUGUCUGCGGAACAGUGAUACUGUCACGGAGGGGAAGGAUGAGGACAGUUGGGCUGCCUUCCAGACUUUACUUCCAGAGACAAGAGCUGAUGCUGUGAGCAACACAGUAAUUCCACACAUCUGGAAGCAGAGGAAGCAAGCUUAGACCUCUGUGUUAUGUAGUAUCCACGGAAAUUUCCUGUGGGAAUCUCUUCCGCUCCUGAAUUGCUCUAAAUAACAGAGUCGAUGCUUCUCUUAGGAAAUUAAAGAUACAUCACAUAUAGUUCAAAGGUCUGUCCAAGGUCUGGUUCUAGUUUUUAAUUUAACAGUUUGUAUGCUUUAAAAGCAAGUAGCCUUAUUAAAUGCACAAAUGACACCAGGCUUGGAGAAAUGGCAAGAGCAAUGGAGGCAAGACUUGAAGUCAGAAUGAUCUUGACAAAUUGAAUAGUGUUCUGGUGAGAAAAAAAGGUCAACUUCAGUAAAGAUGAGGUGACAAGGUACUUGGUGAGAACAAGUAGCCAAAUGCAGGACAAAGCAUGACUAGCUGGCUAGUAUCUUUUAGAGGAGACAUCAUAGAGAAUCUCAAGCCAAACCUAAGUUACUGACCUGGAGUGCUAUUUCCUGAGCUGUAUAAGCAAAAGUCUUGCGUACAAAACAAAAAUAUUUAUUUUCUUAUCACAUUGAUGAGUCCGUGGCAGGAGGAUCGAUUACACCUGGGACAGCAGAGGGGAGUUGCUGCAUUCUGAACUUUAGUACACCAAUGUGUGUUCCUGGUGCCCCAGUGUGCUCAUUGCCCUGCUGCCCUCCUCAGCUCCUUAGGGCUGCUCCAGUUCUCACUCCUGUCACAGCCACCAACUGGAUCGUGCCUCCGUGCUCCCACAGGAGGAUCUAGGAACCGGGCAGGAAAGCAGCUGCAGAGUUUUCUGUGCUUCAACCUCACAAUGUGUGUCCCCUAUUAAAAUAUAGAGGAAAUACAAGAGCAGGCAAUAUAUCACAUGUUUUUAAUACAGCAUUUGAGAUUUGAGGCUUAAAUAUGGGAAGUCCCAUAUUAUAAAGCCUAUCUGGCAAACCCAGUUGCUUUGAGAAAAAUGUGGAUGACCUGGAAAAGUUCCAAAGGAAAGCAAUAAGAAUGAUGAGCUGUCUUGGAGGAUUGACAGAAAGGGGGUUGCUGAGCUGAAAGAAGAGAGCACUGAGGAGGGAGAUGGCAAUAACCCCCAAAUGUAAAAAUGCACUGCUGCAAAGAAGAAGGGAGUAAUCUGCUUGCCACACUUACAUUGGAUGCAACAAAAAUAGGAGGUUUUUAUGUCACUGAGGGAAAUUGAGUAGAUGUUAGAAAGUGCUUCUGGACAGGCAGGGCACUGAAAUCAGACUGCCAGGGGAAGGAGCUUGGAUGUGAAGAUAUUUGAUAUUUUUUGCUGUGAUGUUGACAAUGAUGGGUUUUUUAGGUACUGCCUUUCCCUGAAUCCUUUGUGACACACCUGCCAAAGGAAACUAGGGAGAUUACAUGGAUAGGUGUGAGAGCUGAUGGUCACACUAUAUCAAUUACAUGCCUUCUGCAGAAUUUAUGAACUUCAUAGUCCUUAUAGGAGUAUUUGCUCAAUCAAGUUACCAGAGAUGUUUAAAUUUUGGAAGGUAAAUUUUCUUCAGUCUUUGAAGGGUUAGAAAUUCCAUUUCCACUGAAAAUCUUGUUCCUCCAUACGGAGGUUCCAAGCUCAAUUUGCCAAGAGUUCAAUGACACUGCGAUGGAAAACCACCAGCUUGUAAGAACAGUACACAUUAAUCAAGGAAGAACUGUCAAAACUGUGAUUAACUUAUCAUUUUAAUUAUAAUACAUGAUGAAACAUCUAUAUUAAAUAAUUUUACUAAUGACUGAGCCUUGCAGUACAAGCUGUAAUAUGAUUUUUCUGUAAGAUACUAAUUUGUCUUAAGACUUGAUUUUUGUUUAACACAGGUAAUGUUUUUACACUGAUAUCUUCAUAGCACAAAAUGAAUUAUUUCUGGACAGAGAUUUGUUUCUGAAAUAUGCCUUUGUAUUUUAUUGCAUUCCUUUUUUAGUAUUUGAAGUUAUCAUUAAAAAGUUAUUGAAAUUUCUCACUGUUUCCUCGCUUUUUUCUUUUUGAAGCUAUACAGAUUUUUGCAGGACAUAAUAAAGGAGAAACUGUUCAUAAAAUAUCUUUUUAU